CCUACGGGGGGCUGCAGUGGGGAAUAUUGGACAAUGGGCGAAAGCCUGAUCCAGCCAUGCCGCGUGUGUGAAGAAGGCCUUCGGGUUGUAAAGCACUUUCAGUGGGGAAGAAAGCCUUGGGGCUAAUACCCUCGAGGAAGGACAUCACCUACAGAAGAAGCACCGGCUAACUCCGUGCCAGCAGCCGCGGUAAUACGGAGGGUGCGAGCGUUAAUCGGAAUUACUGGGCGUAAAGCGCGCGUAGGCGGUCUGAUAAGCCGGUUGUGAAAGCCCCGGGCUCAACCUGGGAACGGCAUCCGGAACUGUCAGGCUAGAGUGCAGGAGAGGAAGGUAGAAUUCCCGGUGUAGCGGUGAAAUGCGUAGAGAUCGGGAGGAAUACCAGUGGCGAAGGCGGCCUUCUGGACUGACACUGACGCUGAGGUGCGAAAGCGUGGGUAGCAAACAGGAUUAGAUACCCCGGUAGUC
rnacentral:rRNA from 1 species